ACUGAGCAUUAUUAUUUUCGUUCUCUGUUACGAAUAACGUUCUGGAUUUUAGAAAUUUAUGCUACGGCAGCUUCAGUUAUAUUUGGUUAAUUGGCUAUUGCAUCUACUGAAAUUAAAGCCACGCAUUUAAGACUGUAUUGUUGACUGGGAGUCACGCAAUCACUGUACUGGCUUACCGACUGAGAGUCACGCAAUCACUGGACUGGCUUACCGACUGGGAGUCACGCAAUCACUGGACUGGCUUACCGACUGGGAGUCACGCAAUCACUGGACUGGCUUACCGACUGGGAGUCACGCAAUCACUGGACUGGCUUACCGACUGGGAGUCACGCAAUCACUGGACUGGCUUACCGACUGGGAGUCACGCAAUCACUGGACUGGCUUACCGACUGGGAGUCACGCAAUCACUGGACUGGCUUACCGACUGGGAGUCACGCAAUCACUGGACUGGCUUACCGACUGGGAGUCACGCAAUCACAGGACUGGCUUGAUAGCAGUUCCAAUCAGUAUCAGUGGGUGCCUCCAUCACUGCUUUAUUAGAAUUUCGCCAACAAUUAUAACAGUAGCUAUGACAAUAGUUUACAAUCCUCCCAAGACAGUCCCCUUUUUCUAUAUCAAUAAUGGGUUAUUUCUUGUUCUCUCGAAAUUAAAUAUUUUGAAAUACUUUAAAACUUAAAAAUCAUUGAUAAUCAUUGUUGGAAAUGAGUGAUUUAUGCAACACAAUUUUUUAUCAUGUUAUAUUCGAAGUCUCCCUUGCUGUUUUGUGUUAAAAUUUAGGUCGAAAUUCUUUAAUUUUCUAGCUUUGAAGUUAGUCGCUCUUUUUAAGGUUUAUCUUGAAUGCAGUUUUUGUUACAACUUAUUUUUCAAAAUAUUUUUUAUUAAAUUUAUUUUAAUUUUUAAUUUGAGUACAGAUUAUUGCAUGAUAAAAUGAUUAACAUAAAUAAUUUUAGUAAGAGUAAUUAGAAAACCAAUGCUUUGAUCCCCUAGCUUCUAUUUAAAUUUUUAUACGAUUAGAAAUAUAGAGGCUGAGAUUUUUAAUUCUGGUAUUACACGUUACUCGUAUUUUGUUUAUCGCUAAUAGGAAACUCUACGCAACAACGUUAGAAUGUUAUACUUGUGAACUUUUAAUGUAUUCAACAAAUCUUCGAGUAUUUUAAAGUUCUAAGUCCCUCAAAAUUUUAUUUAAAGAAAAUUCCAACAUCUUCAAAUUGAACUGAUAAAUAACAAAUUUACUGUAUGUUUCAAAACUGCGAUAGAUUUUAUGAGAAAUGACUUUUCAAAGC